GUGGAAAAUCUGGGAUAGAAGCGAAUUAAAGAAAAUAAAACACGUAGUAUGGACUGGAUUGGAAGUGAUAUUGCGCGCGAUCGGGUGAUAAACGUUUCGUUUGAGGUGAACACACGAGGGAUGGAAAUCUGGAUCGAGAAAGCAAAUUGAACAUCGAAGAAACACAGAUGAAAUGAAGAACGAGAAAAAAAGGGAGUGAGAGAUAGGACGAGAGAUCUCGCGGAUAGAGCAUCGCGGAUAGCGAAACAAGAGUCAAGAUACAUUAGUCAUGUGGUAUCCUGAGGAGGGGAGGAGAAGGAGAGGAGAGCGAGGAAGAGUAGCAGUGGGGGUAAAACGAAGGGUUGCAGAGGGAAAAUGGGGAGGAAAGGGGAGGAAGGGAGCGAGAGGGAACGAGCGUAGGAGGUCGAAAGUAAAGAAAGAGGGAACGAACGAGAGAACUGUCCGGUCUGAGCGUGGCUCGCGCAUGCGCGAAUCAGUAGCAAUGCACUGGCACGUAAUGCUAUCGGCGAGCCAGUCUGACGCCAGGCACCGCGACGCUAUGACGUCACUGGUCCGCGUUUUUCCACCGAUCGUUCCACGACAGCGACGCCUAUCGAGCACGGAGUGACAAGGGAUCCUUUCGA